AAGGGGAGAAGCAAAUAGGAGAUGCGGCUGAUUUGAAAUUAGUAGUAGGGGGUUCGAAUCCUUCCUUCCUUG
rnacentral:tRNA from 1 species